rnacentral:rRNA from 1 species
CUUUAACUGACGCUGAGGCACGAAAGCGUGGGUAGCAAACAGGAUUAGAUACCCUGGUAGUCCACGCGGUAAACGAUGAAUACUAGGUGUUGGCAUCCAAAGGAUGUCGGUGCCGUCGCAAACGCAUUAAGUAUUCCACCUGGGGAGUACGUUCGCAAGAAUGAAACUCAAAGGAAUUGACGGGGACCCGCACAAGCAGUGGAGCAUGUGGUUUAAUUCGAAGCAACGCGAAGAACCUUACCAAGUCUUGACAUCCCCCUGACCGGCGAGUAACGUCGCCUUUCCUUCGGGACAGGGGAGACAGGUGGUGCAUGGUUGUCGUCAGCUCGUGUCGUGAGAUGUUGGGUUAAGUCCCGCAACGAGCGCAACCCUUAUGGCCAGUAGCCAGCACGUUAUGGUGGGCACUCUGGCAAGACUGCCCGGGAUAACCGGGAGGAAGGUGGGGAUGACGUCAAAUCAUCAUGCCCCUUAUGAUUUGGGCAACACACGUGCUACAAUGGCGUAACAGAGAGAAGCGAUCCCGCGAGGGGGAGCAAAUCUUCAAAUAACGUCUCAGUUCGGACUGCAGUCUGCAACUCGACUGCACGAAGCUGGAAUUGCU